rnacentral:rRNA from 1 species
AUACGUAGGUGGCAAGCGUUAUCCGGAUUUACUGGGUGUAAAGGGCGUGUAGGCGGGAUGGUAGGUCAGAUGUGAAAUACCGCAGCUUAACUGCGGGGCUGCAUUUGAAACCCCCAUUCUUGAGUGUUGGAGAGGUAAGUGGAAUUCCUAGUGUAGCGGUGAAAUGCGUAGAUAUUAGGAGGAACACCAGUGGCGAAGGCGACGUACUGGACAAUAACUGACGCUGAGGCGCGAAAGCGUGGGGAGCAAACAGGAUUAGAUACCCUGGUAGUCCACGCCGUAAACGAUGGAUACUAGGUGUAGGGGGUAUCGACUCCCCCUGUGCCGCAGUUAACACAAUAAGUAUCCCACCUGGGGAGUACGGCCGCAAGGCUGAAACUUAAAGGAAUUGACGGGG